rnacentral:rRNA from 1 species
GAUUAAGUUAUUAAGGGCGCACGGUGGAUGCCUUGGCACUAGAAGCCGAUGAAGGACGUUACUAACGACGAUAUGCUUUGGGGAGCUGUAAGUAAGCUUUGAUCCAGGGAUUUCCGAAUGGGGAAACCCAGCAUGAGUUAUGUCAUGUUAUCGAUAUGUGAAUACAUAGCAUAUCAGAAGGCACACCCGGAGAACUGAAACAUCUUAGUACCCGGAGGAAGAGAAAGAAAAUUCGAUUCCCUUAGUAGCGGCGAGCGAAACGGGAAGAGCCCAAACCAACAAGCUUGCUUGUUGGGGUUGUAGGACACUCUAUACGGAGUUACAAAGGACACAUUAGACGAAUCAUCUGGAAAGAUGAAUCAAAGAAGGUAAUAAUCCUGUAGUCGAAAAUGUUGUCUCUCUUGAGUGGAUCCUGAGUACGACGGAGCACGUGAAAUUCCGUCGGAAUCUGGGAGGACCAUCUCCUAAGGCUAAAUACUCUCUAGUGACCGAUAGUGAACCAGUACCGUGAGGGAAAGGUGAAAAGCACCCCGGAAGGGGAGUGAAAUAGAACCUGAAACCGUGUGCUUACAAGUAGUCAGAGCCCGUUAAUGGGUGAUGGCGUGCCUUUUGUAGAAUGAACCGGCGAGUUACGAUUUGAUGCAAGGUUAAGCAGUAAAUGUGGAGCCGUAGCGAAAGCGAGUCUGAAUAGGGCGUUUAGUAUUUGGUCGUAGACCCGAAACCAGGUGAUCUACCCUUGGUCAGGUUGAAGUUCAGGUAACACUGAAUGGAGGACCGAACCGACUUACGUUGAAAAGUGAGCGGAUGAACUGAGGGUAGCGGAGAAAUUCCAAUCGAACCUGGAGAUAGCUGGUUCUCUCCGAAAUAGCUUUAGGGCUAGCCUCAAGUGAUGAUUAUUGGAGGUAGAGCACUGUUUGGACGAGGGGCCCCUCUCGGGUUACCGAAUUCAGACAAACUCCGAAUGCCAAUUAAUUUAACUUGGGAGUCAGAACAUGGGUGAUAAGGUCCGUGUUCGAAAGGGAAACAGCCCAGACCACCAGCUAAGGUCCCAAAAUAUAUGUUAAGUGGAAAAGGAUGUGGCGUUGCCCAGACAACUAGGAUGUUGGCUUAGAAGCAGCCAUCAUUUAAAGAGUGCGUAAUAGCUCACUAGUCGAGUGACACUGCGCCGAAAAUGUACCGGGGCUAAACAUAUUACCGAAGCUGUGGAUUGUCCUUUGGACAAUGGUAGGAGAGCGUUCUAAGGGCGUUGAAGCAUGAUCGUAAGGACAUGUGGAGCGCUUAGAAGUGAGAAUGCCGGUGUGAGUAGCGAAAGACGGGUGAGAAUCCCGUCCACCGAUUGACUAAGGUUUCCAGAGGAAGGCUCGUCCGCUCUGGGUUAGUCGGGUCCUAAGCUGAGGCCGACAGGCGUAGGCGAUGGAUAACAGGUUGAUAUUCCUGUACCACCUAUAAUCGUUUUA